UGCAUUUGAAGCCCAUGAGGAUGAGAACCUCCGGGGGCGGGGAGGUUCGACUCGAGCGAAGCGAGAGAACGUUGCGCCAGCAACGGCCCGCAGGGCGAGCCACGAAGUAGCGAGUAAUCCUCUAUCACCGACCA
rnacentral:sRNA from 1 species